rnacentral:rRNA from 1 species
UACGAAGGGGGCUAGCGUUGUUCGGAAUCACUGGGCGUAAAGCGCACGUAGGCGGUAUAGCAAGUUAGGGGUGAAAUCCCGAGGCUUAACCUCGGAACUGCCUUUAAAACUGCUAUGCUGGAGUCUCGGAGGGGAUGGUGGAAUUUCCAGUGUAGAGGUGAAAUUCGUAGAUACUGGAAGGAACACCGGUGGCGAAGGCGGCCAUCUGGACGAGUACUGACGCUGAGGUGCGAAAGCGUGGGGAGCAAACAGG